rnacentral:rRNA from 1 species
GACGAACGCUGGCGGCGUGCUUAACACAUGCAAGUCGAACGGAAAGGCCCUGCUUUUGUGGGGUGCUCGAGUGGCGAACGGGUGAGUAACACGUGAGUAACCUGCCCUUGACUUUGGGAUAACUUCAGGAAACUGGGGCUAAUCCCGGAUAGGAGCUCCUGCUGCAUGGUGGGGGUUGGACAGCUUCGGCGGUUGGAGAUGAACUCGCGGGUGAUCAGCUUGUCGGUGGGGUAGUGGCCUACCAAGGCUUUGACGGGUAGCCGGCCUGAGGGGGUGGCCGGCCAGAUUGGGGCUGGAAUACGGCCCAGCCUCCUACGGGAGGCAGCAGUGGGGAGUAUUGCACAAUGGGCGGAAGCCUGAUGCAGCAACGCCGCGUGCGGGAUGACGGCCUUCGGGUUGUAAACCGCUUUCGCCUGUGACGAAGCGUGAGUGACGGUAAUGGGUAAAGAAGCACCGGCUAACUACGUG